GAUGAAGAACGUAGCGAAAUGCGAUAAGUAAUGUGAAUUGCAGAAUUCAGUGAAUCAUCGAAUCUUUGAACGCACAUUGCGCCCCUUGGUAUUCCGAGGGGCAUGCCUGUUCGAGCGUCAUUAUAACCCCUCAAGCUUAGCUUGGUGUUGGGGCUUGCUGUAAUAGAGCAGCCCUAAAAAUCAGUGGCGGUGCCAUUAGGCUCUAAGCGUAGUAAUUCUUCUCGCUAUAGGGUUCUGGUGGAUGCUUGCCAUUAACCUCUAAUUUUCUAUGGUUGACCUCGGAUCAGGUAGGGAUACCCGCUGAACUUAAGCAUAUCAAUAAGCGGAGGA
rnacentral:misc_RNA from 1 species